AUUUGGACUAAAAUUCUUUUAAUAAGUUGAAUCUUGAUUUAACCAAAACCCUAACGCAACAAAAAUCACCAGCUUAGUCGAAUAAAAAAAUGCAGCGGUGACGCUUCGCUGUUGUUGUAUCACAAAAAAGAAGGUGACGCCGCAGCGCCGAUUCAACGCAACCGGAGUUGGUCGUCGGCGGCCAGAAACAUUUUUAAAUUAUCCAUAGCUGGAACACUCGAGCUAAGAACAUGGCAAAUCAACCAAAUAAUGAAAACCAGCCAGCACUAAGUUCUGCCGCACUUAUCCAGAAAACUGAUGAGGAUCAAGUAGUCCACGGCCCUUCAGCUUCGGGCUUUAUAGGUUCAUUGGAACAACGGUAUCAAAAAAUCAAAGAGCAUGCGGAAGCUUAUCCUUAUGUAUGGGCUUCUUAUAUUGUUGUAUAUGGUGGCUUUGGUCUCUGGACUACCUAUAGAUGGAGAAAGCUUCGCAAGACAGAAGACAGUGUACGCAAACUUCAACAAAGACUACGUGAGCUCAUUGAGGCUGAACAACCUGCUAGUUCGGCCAGAGUGGUUGAAAAGGGUUCCACAUCUACUGAGAAGCCUUCCAAGUAGAGCCUACAGAAUUCUAAUAUUCCUUACCAGUUACAAAAGUCAGAAUUGUUACUUCCAGGGGUACAAUGGAGUGGAAUGUGAUUGAAUAGUAAAAGAUACAAUUGUUCAGAUUGCUGAAAAUAGGAUAGAAUGGAAUCAACACUGCAUUCUCUCAUUCCAUGGUCUAUGGUACAGGAGAUGAGUAAUGUUCGACCAAAUAUUUCAGAUCGUCGAAGAUGAAAGAAACUUUGGUCUCCAGUUAACAACUGCAAGCAUACUUUGAACUUUAGCAAUUUUGCAUAAUGAGCAUGAGAUGUCAGUUCAUUCAAUGUGAUAUUAGAACCUAUAUGAUAAAAACAAGAUUGAGUAUGCCUGUUCUGUGUAUUAUCCACCAAUCAAGCCCUGAAUAGGCUCUUGUAUGAGGAGACAUGUUAUGUAUAAAACCAUUCAUUGUUCUCACCAAACCUUGUGAGAUUUUAAGUUCAUAGCAGAUUUUUUUUACCGCAUAAACUUGCUAAUGUACCCUUUCAUUCCAUGAAUCCUGAUACAAAAUAAAUGUUGGCUUCAGUUGUUCACCGCAAGAACACUGAUCUUUUGCA